rnacentral:rRNA from 1 species
UUUUUAUGGAGAGUUUGAUCCUGGCUCAGGAUGAACGCUGGCGGCGUGCCUAAUACAUGCAAGUCGAGCGAACAGACGAGGAGCUUGCUCCUCUGACGUUAGCGGCGGACGGGUGAGUAACACGUGGAUAACCUACCUAUAAGACUGGGAUAACUUCGGGAAACCGGAGCUAAUACCGGAUAAUAUAUUGAACCGCAUGGUUCAAUAGUGAAAGACGGUUUUGCUGUCACUUAUAGAUGGAUCCGCGCCGCAUUAGCUAGUUGGUAAGGUAACGGCUUACCAAGGC